rnacentral:lncRNA from 1 species
CAUGCGUAUACAGGACCCUGCGAAGGUCUGUAUUCUGUAUGCUUCCUGGCAGCAUCUCUUGGGAAUCAUUUGAUGCAUCCCUCAAGAACAAGGGAACGUUACUGUCAGAAAAUGUCGACUGUGUUUAAUGCUGCUCAGAAGAGGAAGGGCCUGCAGCCUGUGACCAGAGGAGAUGCCGUAGGCCCCUGAGUGAAAACACUCCUAACUGCAAAUGCUCAAGGCGCAUGUGUUGCUGGUGGCCUCCGGAGCUUAGGUGUUCCAGUAAUGAGCCAUUACAGGGCAUGUAGACUGCUGCCCGUCUGGACUGUACCUCGCCUUCUUUUUAUCACCCACACAGAGACCCAGAACCCACAGAAUCUUUCCACUUCUUUUA